rnacentral:snRNA from 1 species
AUCGCUUCUCGGCCUUUUGGCUAGGAUCAAGUGUAGUAUCAAAAAAUAAGUAAAUAUUAAACAAAGGAUUUUUAAAAAUGGAAGCCUCU